rnacentral:tRNA from 1 species
GAUUAAAUGGCUGAAAUUAGGCAAUAAACUGUAAAUUUAUUUAUGAGAUAUAAUCUCUUUAAUCA